rnacentral:lncRNA from 1 species
CAAAGAGUCGGACACGACUGAGUGACUGAACUGAACUGAACUGAAGAGAAGGUUAUUUCUUGCUUGUACUAAAGUGUAUUUCUUCAGACAGUUUUAGGAACCCAGAUUCCUUUCAACCUAGAGCAGGGGUCAGCAAACUUGGCUUAUGGGUCAAAUACUGUUUCUGUCUUUUUUUUUUUUGUAAAUAAAGUUUUAUUGGAACACAGUCACAUCCAUUCAUGUGUAUUCGAGCUUUUUAGCUGUAGGACAGUGACUACCUGUGACAGAGGGAGCAGAGCCCAUGAACCUGAAAAUAUGAACUCUCAACACUUCCCAGAAAAAGUUUGCUAAGCCCUGCCUUAGAGCUUUGGAAUCUUGUCUCAGAUUCUCUGAUUCAGCUUACAGAAGAGGGAAGAGGAGAGGAANNNNNNNNNNGAGGUUUUUAUAAGCUGUAUCUGGAAAUGGCUUCCAUCAGUUCAGUCUGCAUUUCAUUGGCCAGCGCUCAAGUCAGAGACAAUCCCUAGCUGCUUGGGAAGGAGAGACAUGCAGUCUUAGCAAUGGCCCAGGAGGAAACCUACAGCAGUUCUACACAUAGUGCUGUGUGAGACUCUUCAAUUACUCUAUUUUCUUUGUUCCUCAAAAUAAUUGUUUAACAAGUACAGUAUUCCUUUGUGGAUGAGGUACCUGAGGUUCAGAGAGGGUAAGCAACUUGCUUUAAGGUCACCCAGUAUCAAGAUAGUGGCAGUGGGGAUUUGAAAACUCAGGAUAUCUUGCUCUGAAACUUGCGCUAUUCUCUCUGAAAAAAGAUUUUUAAAAGUCAUGGUAAAAUAUACAUAACAUGUACCAGUGCUGCGAUUUUUCAGUGUACUGUUCAAUGGCAUAUAAGAUAUUUUGGAGAAUGGGGAGUUUUUUAGACUUUGAUGGGAAUUUCAAAGCUCAGGGCUUUCAUUUCAAUGGUAAUAGUAAAAAGUCAAGCACAGUCAGACUUAUCUGGGUAAUUUCUAUAAAACUGACAUCAAAUCUCCAGUCUCACAGUUUAGUUUAUGUUUAUUGGGCACCAACAGUGAUCCUCUAUUGUCACAAGCUGGUAAGAAAGGGGCAGAAGUGGAUUCGAUACUGA